AGUGAAGUGCCUGAAAAAGGAUUAUCGUGAUAGGAUAAAUCAUGUAAUUUAUUUACCUCCACUA
rnacentral:tRNA from 1 species